rnacentral:rRNA from 1 species
UACGGAGGGUGCAAGCGUUAAUCGGAAUUACUGGGCGUAAAGCGCACGUAGGUGGUUUUCUAAGCCAGCUGUGAAAUCCCCGGGCUCAACCUGGGACUUGCAGUUGGAACUGGAAAGCUAGAGUAGGGUAGAGGGGUGUGGAAUUCCAGGUGUAGCGGUGAAAUGCGUAGAUAUCGAGAGGAACACCUGCGGCGAAGGCGGGUUGCUGGGCUGACACUGACGCUGAUGCGCGAAAGCUAGGGGAGCGAAGCGGG